rnacentral:lncRNA from 1 species
AGUCCUUCCCACAGAGAGCGGUUUGAUAUGUCACUGAAACCAGCAUCCAGGUGGUAUUGCUCCAUAUGCCUGAGACCCUAACAAAAGCCUAAUUACAACUCAUAUGCCUGGAGCCAGGACAUGUGCAGGAUGGUGAUGUAACUUUCCUCUCUGGAAUGGGUCCUGCACAAAGGAAUGAUAGUAACAUAUUGCAAAGCCAGACACACAGCCAUGAUGGUCCAAGUUAUAUUGGGAUUCAGCCAAUAGAAGAUAUUUUGCCUGUCAUCCCUAAGCUUAGGACAAUAGGGUCCUGCCCACAAGAAAGAUUGUGACAUCUCACUGGACAAGCACCCACCCAGACUCUGCCAAGAGAGGGGAUUAUUACAUAUUGCAGAGCCCAGCACCUAGGUGGAGUGACUCUCAUCUUUUUCUUCUACCCCGUAUAUAGCCAGCUUGGUGACCUACUAUUUGAGUCUAUACCCAGGCCCAGACCACAGAUGAAAUUGUGCAAUAUGUGGAACAAACACCUAAACAAUAUAUAACACCUUCCUUGGCUCUGUCUACAAAGGGCACUUUUAUAUAUCACUGGGACCAUCAACCAGGUGAUGUUGUGCCAUAUAACUGAGACCGUAUCAAAAGCCUAAUAACAAGACGUAUGUCUGGAGCCCCGAUAUGCACAGGAUGGUGAUAUAACCCUCUUCUCUGGAAUGGGCCCCACACAAAGGAAGGAUAGUGACAUAUUGCAAGCCCAGGCACACAGGCCCAGAGCACAGUUGAAAUUGUGACAUAUGUACACCAAGCAACCAAGCAAUGUAUAACACCUCAUUUGGCAAUGGAAUCGAGGGCACUUUUACAUAUCACUGAGACCAGCGCCCAGCUGAUGUGAAAUAUUGGCCUGAACCCUGCCUACAAAAGCAUUGUGGCUUUUAUCUAGCUCCAUUACAUAAGUGAUGUGACUUCCUUCUACUGCCUUGGCCCUGCACUUAUGGUGAAUCGUGACACAAAAUUGGGUAGAGCAACCAGGUGAUGUGACCCUUUUUUUUUUGGCGGGGGGCCAGUCUGUCAAUAGGAAGCUUUAACAUAUCACUUGGCUCAGCA